AAGGUUUGGUCCUAACCUUGAAGUCAGUUUUUACUUAAUAUACACAUGCAAGUAUCCGCACCCCUGUGAAAACGCCCUCAUCCUCCCCAAUAGUGAGCAGGAGCCGGUAUCAGGCACAAUUCUUUGCCCACAACACCUAGCAUCGCCACACCCACAAGGGACUUCAGCAGUGAUAAACAUUGAGUAUAAGCGAUAGCUUGACUCAGUUAAAUUAUUUUAGAGCCGGCCAAUCUGGUGCCAGCCGCCGCGGUUACACCACGGACUCAAAUUGACCUCCAUCGGCGUAAAGCGUGAUUAAAGCCUUAAGAUCUUUGGGGUUAAAUUAGAACUAAGCUGUGACACGCUUGUUAUCUAAGAAAAUCAAAAACGAAAGUUACUCCAACUCAAUCAACUUGAAUUCACGACAACUGAGAGACAAACUGGGAUUAGAUACCCCACUAUGCUCAGUCGUAAACUUUAACUUACACCUGUAUCGCCCGGGAACUACGAGCCAAGCUUAAAACCCAAAGGACUUGACGGUACCCCAUAUCCCCCUAGAGGAGCCUGUCCUAUAAUCGAUAACCCCCGCUUUACCUCACCAUUUUUUGCCUAUCAGCCUGUAUACCUCCGUCGUCAGCUUACCACGUGAGCGUUAGUGAGCCCAAUGUUAAUACAACCGUACGUCAGGUCAAGGUGCAACAUAUAAAAUGGAAAGAGAUGGGCUACACUCUCUACUUUAGAACAAACGAAAAACUUAAUGAAACCUAAUUAGAAGGCGGAUUUAGCAGUAAGAUGAAACUAGAGCGUUCAUUUAAAUAAGGCACUGGGGUGUGUACACACCGCCCGUCACCCUCCUCAACUCUAUAAAGCAGUCUUUAACACACCAUAGUAAUUCAGAAGAGGCAAGUCGUAACAUGGUAAGUACACCGGAAGGUGUGCUUGGAAU
rnacentral:ncRNA from 1 species